GAAAUGCGAUAAGUAGUGUGAAUUGCAGAAUUCAGUGAAUCAUCGAAUCUUUGAACGCACAUUGCGCCCCUUGGUAUUCCAUGGGGCAUGCCUGUUCGAGCGUCAUUUGUACCCUCAAGCUCUGCUUGGUGUUGUGUGUUUGUCCCCGUCUCCGCGCGUGGACUCGCCCCAAAGUGAUUGGCAGCCGGCGUACUGGUCCCGGAGCGCAGCACAUGUCGCGCAAACGAGUGCCUUGGUACGGCGGCGUCCAUAAGCCCCUCUCUCACGCUCUUGACCUCGGAUCAGGUAGGGAUACCCGCUGAACUUAAGC
rnacentral:misc_RNA from 1 species